UCUGAAUCUGCGAACGGCUCCGCAAACCAGUUGUAAACUAUAGCAAGCAGGCUCGGGGUCGGCCUUCACGGGCUGGCCUCGGGCGAUAUGGAUAACCCUGGUAAUUCUGAGGCUAAUACAUGAACGUAGAACCCGGUUGACCAGGCCUCACGGCUAGGGAUGCUGGGGGAUGUGCGAUUGCAGGCUUGGGUAACUCCGGGAAAGGGCGCACGUCCAGACCGCGCUAUAAAGGAUGGGCUUCUCACGAGGCCUGCCCCAGCGGCUCUUGCUGUGUGCUUCUGACCUAUCAACUAGACGGCAGCGUAAGGGACAUGCUAUGGU
rnacentral:rRNA from 1 species